rnacentral:rRNA from 1 species
GACGAACGCUGGCAGCGUGCUUAACACAUGCGAGUCGAACGGAAAGGCCCUGCUUUUGUGGGGUGCUCGAGUGGCGAACGGGUGAGUAACACGUGAGUAACCUGCCCUUGACUUUGGGAUAACUUCAGGAAACUGGGGCUAAUACCGGAUAGGAGCUCCUGCUGCAUGGUGGGGGUUGGAAAGUUUCGGCGGUUGGGGAUGGACUCGCGGCUUAUCAGCUUGUUGGUGGGGUAGUGGCUUACCAAGGCUUUGACGGGUAGCCGGCCUGAGAGGGUGACCGGCCACAUUGGGACUGAGAUACGGCCCAGACUCCUACGUGAGGCAGCAGUGGGGAAUAUUGCACAAUGGGCGGAAGCCUGAUGCAGCAACGCCGCGUGCGGGAUGACGGCCUUCGGGUUGUAAACCGCUUUCGCCUGUGACGAAGCGUGAGUGACGGUAAUGGGUAAAGAAGCACCGGCUAACUACGUG